rnacentral:rRNA from 1 species
GAUGAACGCUGGCGGCGUGCCUAAUACAUGCAAGUCGAGCGAACAGACGAGGAGCUUGCUCCUCUGACGUUAGCGGCGGACGGGUGAGUAACACGUGGAUAACCUACCUAUAAGACUGGGAUAACUUCGGGAAACCGGAGCUAAUACCGGAUAAUAUAUUGAACCGCAUGGUUCAAUAGUGAAAGACGGUUUUGCUGUCACUUAUAGAUGGAUCCGCGCCGCAUUAGCUAGUUGGUAUGGUAACGGCUUACCAAGGCAACGAUGCGUAGCCGACCUGAGAGGGUGAUCGGCCACACUGGAACUGAGACACGGUCCAGACUCCGACGGGAGGCAGCAGUAGGGAAUCUUCCGCAAUGGGCGAAAGCCUGACGGAGCAACGCCGCGUGAGUGAUGAAGGUCUUCGGAUCGUAAAACUCUGUUAUUAGGGAAGAACAAAUGUGUAAGUAACUAUGCACGUCUUGACGGUACCUAAUCAGAAAGCCACGGCUAACUACGUG